GUUCGACAGUCAGCUGCAUCUUCUUUUGCAUUGCCAGCCGAGCCACAUCGCUGAGACACCAUGGGGAAGGUGAAGGUCGGAGUCAACGGGUGAGUUCGCGGGUGGCUGGGGGGCCCUGGGCUGCGACCGCCCCCGAACUGCGUCUACGAGCCUUGCGGGCUCCGGGUCUUUGCAGUCGUAUGGGGGCAGGGUAGCUGUUCCCCGCAAGGAGAGCUCAAGAUUUGGUCGUAUUGGGCGCCUGGUCACCAGGGCUGCUUUUAACUCUGGUAAAGUGGAUAUUGUUGCCAUCAAUGACCCCUUCAUUGACCUCAACUACAUGGUUUACAUGUUCCAAUAUGAUUCCACCCAUGGCAAAUUCCAUGGCACCGUCAAGGCUGAGAACGGGAAGCUUGUCAUCAAUGGAAAUCCCAUCACCAUCUUCCAGGAGCGAGAUCCCUCCAAAAUCAAGUGGGGCGAUGCUGGCGCUGAGUACGUCGUGGAGUCCACUGGCGUCUUCACCACCAUGGAGAAGGCUGGGGCUCAUUUGCAGGGGGGAGCCAAAAGGGUCAUCAUCUCUGCCCCCUCUGCUGACGCCCCCAUGUUCGUCAUGGGUGUGAACCAUGAGAAGUAUGACAACAGCCUCAAGAUCAUCAGCAAUGCCUCCUGCACCACCAACUGCUUAGCACCCCUGGCCAAGGUCAUCCAUGACAACUUCGGUAUCGUGGAAGGACUCAUGACCACGGUCCAUGCCAUCACUGCCACCCAGAAGACUGUGGAUGGCCCCUCCGGGAAACUGUGGCGUGAUGGCCGCGGGGCUCUCCAGAACAUCAUCCCUGCCUCUACUGGCGCUGCCAAGGCUGUGGGCAAGGUCAUCCCUGAGCUGAACGGGAAGCUCACUGGCAUGGCCUUCCGUGUCCCCACUGCCAACGUGUCAGUGGUGGACCUGACCUG
rnacentral:sRNA from 1 species